UAUGCUGUUCUUCAGAGUUGGGUUUCGAAGAAGUUCAUGACUGGAUGUGUGGUUCUCUUUCCUGUAGCUGUUACCUUUUUAGUUACUUGGUGUUUUAUCCAGUUUGUUGAUGGUUUCUUCAGCCCAAUUUAUGCUAAACUUGGCAUAGACAUAUUUGGACUUGGGUUUGUUACUUCACUGCUUUUUAUAUUCUUUGUUGGAAUAUUUGCUUCAUCAUGGAUGGGUGCCACAGUUUUCUGGCUUGGAGAAUGGUUUAUUAAGCGAAUGCCAUUUAUGAAGCACAUAUACUCAGCCUCCAAACAAAUUAGUGCUGCUAUUUCUCCAGACCAAAACACUACUGCUUUUAAAGAGGUUGCAAUUAUUCGUCAUCCUCGCCAUGGGGAAUAUGCAUUUGGUUUCAUCACAUCUUCUGUUGUCCUUCAGAGAGAAGAUGGAGAUGAAGAG
rnacentral:misc_RNA from 1 species